ACCCUCCAGAUUUCUUACCCAUCAGACGUAGACAUUGUCUGCGCGGCUGUAAGUGGAGGGAAAAUACAACUGAGCAGGCCUUGGACUCUGGGCAAUGUAGAAGUUGGUUUCAAACCAAG
rnacentral:snoRNA from 1 species